AACAGAAUUUCAGCGGCUGUUGAAACUUGUAUUUCAGCAGCAGUUUUGCAAUAGAUUUGUAUUGAUCAACUGCUGAGGCAGCAAGGUGGUACAUGCCAGAGCCCUGCUCUUCCAGCCCUAGUGCGUCCUCCCGCUCCACCUUUGCAGCCAUCGCUGGAUAUUAAACCAUUUCUUCCAUUUCCUCUGGACACUGCCGCAGCAGUCAAUCUCUUCCCCAACUUCAAUGCAAUGGACCCAAUUCAAAAAGCAGUAAUAAAUCAUACAUUUGGGGUUCCUCUUCCUCAUCGAAGAAAGCAAAUCAUAUCAUGCAACAUUUGCCAGCUGAGAUUUAAU